AACGAACGCUGGCGGCAUGCCUAACACAUGCCAGUCGAACGAGACCUUCGGGUCUAGUGGCGCACGGGUGCGUAACGCGUGGGAAUCUGCCCUUGGGUUCGGCAUAACAGUUGGAAACGACUGCUAAUACCGGAUGAUGACGUAAGUCCAAAGAUUUAUCGCCCAAGGAUGAGCCCGCGUAGGAUUAGCUAGUUGGUGAGGUAAAGGCUCACCAAGGCGACGAUCCUUAGCUGGUCUGAGAGGAUGAUCGGCCACACUGGGACUGAGACACGGCCCAGACUCCUACGGGAGGCAGCAGUGGGGAAUAUUGGACAAUGGGCGAAAGCCUGAUGCAGCAAUGCCGCGUGAGUGAUGAAGGCCUUAGGGUUGUAAAGCUCUUUUACCCGGGAUGAUAAUGACAGUACCGGGAGAAUAAGCUCCGGCUAACUCCGUG
rnacentral:rRNA from 1 species